rnacentral:lncRNA from 1 species
ACUUGUAAACUGGAGUUGGUGGUGAUGGUGAUUUGUAGACUGAGUGUGUAGAGAGUAGUAUGACUCCUUAGGUGGUGGUGGUGAAUUGUAAAUGGGAGUUGGUGGUGGCAGAGACUUAUAAACUGGUGCGGGAUUGAUAUAGCUCCUUGGGUGUGGAGGCGAUAUGUAGACUAGGGUUGGUGGAGGUGGUGACUUGUUGACUGGGUGUGUGGAGGGUAGUAAGGCUCCUUAGUAGUGGUGGCGACUUGUAAACUGUAGUCGGUAGAGGCGGUGACUUGUAGAUUGGGGUAUGAGGAGGGUAGUAUGGCUCCUUAAGUGGUUGUGGUGACUUGUAAACUGGAGUCGGCGAAGGUGGCGACUUAUAGACUGGGUGUUUGGAGGGUAGUAAGGCUCUUUGGGUGGGGGUGGCAACGUAUAAACUUGAGUUAGUGGAAGUGGUGAUUUGUAGACUGGGUGUGUGGGGGAUAGUAUGGCUCCUUAGGUAGUAGUGGUGAUUGGUAAAUAGGAGCCGGUGGAAAUGGCGACUUAUAGACUGGGUGUGUGGAGGGUAGUAAGGCUCUUUUGGUGGGGGUGACGACUUGUAAACUGGAGUUGAUGGAGGUGGCAAUUUGUAGACUGGGGUGUGUGGAGGAUAGUAUGGCUCCUUGGGUGGUGAUGGUGGUGACUAGUAAAGCGGAGUUGAAGGUGAUGGUGAUUUAUAAAGUGGUGCAGGAUGAUAAGGUGUUGGUGAAGGAUGGUAUGGCUCUUUUGGUGAUGGUGGAGAUAAAUAUUGAUAAUUUGCUGAGCUUUGGGAAGCCAAGCAAAGUGACACAAAAACCACUAAAAGAGUGGAAAAUAGAGAGGCCAUUUCUCCCAAAAAGAAACAAAGGAGAGAAGUUGUUGUCCCUUUAAGCUGCACUCAAAGCCCUUUGUAUAGCUUUCAUUUAGAAGGUAUAAGGCUAAAGUUAUGUAUUUUUAAUUAGUUUUGUCAUGUUGUCGGUUCAAUUUGACCUUUGUUGGUAUACUUUUUUUUUUUUGUUGGAUAGAAGGUGCAAGCUAAGCAAAGAAAUUAACUACUAUGGCAGCUAUACUAUUUAUGAUGCAAUAAUUCAAAAAAAAAUACGUGGAUCCCACAACUUCCCACAAGAUUUUAGUUAUAGGAAUCUGAGCACUUUUUUUUUACACUUAGGGUGUGUAUGGUACGAUGGAAAAUAUUUUCUGAAAAAUGUUGGUUGUAGUAAAAAAUAUUUUCUAAGAUAAUUCAUUUUUUCCUAUUUGAGGGAAAAUGACUUCCCUCAUGGACCAAGGGAAGUUAUUUUUCGGAAAAUGAUAAAUGUGACUUAUGCCCCCAUCCUCACCCCUCUUCCCACCCCAACAACACUCAUAUUCACAUAACUCAAAAAAUUCACAUUUUUAAAAAAUUUAUUUUACUCAAAAUAUUUUUCACUGUGCUUUGCUUCAAUUUUUCACUGCUUGAAAUAAAAAAUAGUGAAGCCCGACUUUUUUUCAUUUCCAAUGUUCGUUGAAUGUAUUGUUAUUUUCAUAUGCAUAGAGGAAGACUUACCUAUGUUACUUUUGCUAAUUGCAUAUUUUAUUUUGUCAUCGAUGUUACUUCUUUCACGAGGUUGAAUAAGCUUAUCGUCCCGUUAUAUUUCUAUUGAUUGUAGUAUCUUGAGAUUGUCCUGAAAAAAUGUUGAAAAGUGUCUCCUAUAUUUGCUAAUUAAUAGUUGCUUAAAUUUAGUGAUUGUAAUAUUUUAGUAUUCGAUAUUGAUAUUAUUUAUUAUGCUUAAAUUAGUUCUUACAAAUUGUUGAGUUGCUAGAUGCACUGAUAUACUAGUUAACAGUUAGUAGUAUUUUCUAAAAAAAAAAAUUUCACUCACCAAUCAAACACUAGAAAAUAUUUUUCUAAAAAAUAUUUUCUACUCACCAACCAAACACCAUAAAAUAUUUUUCGAAAAUAUUUUUCACUCACCAACCAAACAUGAGAAAAUAAAUAGAAAACCAACUUAUUUUCCAAGAAAACAUUUUUCAUGAAAAAUAUUUUCCAUCGUACCAAACACACCCUUAGUAUUUGAAGAAUUCAAUUCUUGUGGAUUCUGACAGCUUAACUAACCUUCACUUAAGUGCUGAGAAAUUUAAAACAAUAUGUAUACAGUAUCAUAUAUUCUUUAAAAGAAAUGAUAUGUCAUUGUUAAAAGAGUUUAAUCUAGAGAAAACUGUGCAUGUGACUCGCUUUCAUUACCAACUAAAUCAAUUAUGUUCUUUCCUUUUGUGUAGUAGAGCUAAAAGAAACAUCAACCGAUUAUUUUGUAGCUCAAUGUUGAAAACUUAUGUGGUUCAAUAUGAUAUCUCUGAAAAUUUUACAGCUUGUUUGAUAGCUGCUGCCUAAUAAUGUAUUGUAUCGUGUUGCUAGUUUAAAUAUAAUGUGUAUUUUGAUUGUUUCUUAAAUUUUACUGUAUCAUUAAAUCUAUAACUAGAUAGCAAUAAAAAGUCUCAUUUGGUGUAACGACCUAUUUGAUGUGAUCGCGUUGUUACCUUUUUUCCCCUUUUUAUUUAUUAUUUAAUUAUCUUAAUGCUCCUUUAUCCUAUAUUUUUAUAGUAACUCUACCUCACAUUUUUCUAUUUUCCUUCUAGGCUUAUCCUUGAACUGUUAUAUGAAGGAUGCAAUGUAAUGACGAAAAAGGUAUAAUAAAUCCAAAUAUCGUAACAUUCACUAAAAUAAUAAAGUACAUACAAUACAACAUGAUACUUUAUGAAACAAUAUCAUUCCAAGUUAAGGACUUGAUUAGAAUGUGCAUGUUAAGUGUCUGAUGGGUUACUUAAGUAUAAAGUUCAAGUCCAUAUAAAAAGAUAAACCCUAAUUAUAAUGCCUUCAUCAUGGCUGGUCGACAGUAGUCUACUACUGAAUUUCCUCCUUUGAACCCAAAUUCUAUUGUGAAUAUCCAAACCCUACCGUUGGAUAAAUCUUUUGUUGAAUCAAUCAGUACAACAAAGUUGGACACCGUCUCUCGCAAAGAGGUGGUCAUGGUGGAAGGAAUCCCGAAUGUCACACUGAAAAAAGUGGAUACAGUGAAUAAAAUGGAGAAUUUGCAAUUUGUUGUCAUAGGUAAAUUCACUUAAGAAUGGACGGGUAUAGAAGAAUUAAGGAAUAUUAUCCCACAGCAAUGCAACAUUAAUGGUGAUUGUCAAAUUGGAGUAUUCAGAAAUAAACAUAUUUUCAUUCGUUAGACACAGGAGUCGGAUUUUAUUAAUAUCAUCAUCUCAAAGGGAGCUUUUUCCUUGCACUGUAAGGAUGGGUUCUCUUAUUUGAUGCGAACACUCUCACACUUAUCUAUGAUCCCCUUUUCAAAGAAACUUUAGAGACUACAAAGACUUUCGCAUGGAUUUCUUUCCCAAAUCUAUUGCCUACCUAUUAUGUCAAGGAAUGUUUGUUUUCUUUAGCUGCAACAGUGGGAAAGCCUGUCCAACUUGAUCUAGCCACCAUUAAUAGGACUAGACCAAGUUGUGCAAGGAUUAAGGUCUUGGUUGAUCUAAAAGCUGAUUUCUCUAAAUCAGUCCGGAUGGAUAUUGAAAAUGAAGAGUCAGGUAAAUGCAGGACAAUAGUGAAGCGGAUUAAAUUCGACCAUAUUCCUAAGUAUUGUCAUGAAUGCAAUAUGCAAGUUCAUGCUAAGAAUCAAUGUAGAAACUUAGGCACCCCAGAGGAUGCAACAAUGGCAGUAACAGUGGAUAAUAAGGAAUAAAAGAGGCCAGUACAACAUCUUCCUAAAUUCACAAUGCCUUUUGUACACAAAUUUCAAAACGGAAAAGCAUGAGUUCUUUCGAGUGGGAUUGUAGUUGGAGAUCCUACUAACUGGAUGGUUAUUAAAAAUGAUAAGAGGAUAGUUAAUACUUCCCAACAGCCUCUUUUAAUGAUAUAGUUAAUACUUCCCAACAGCCUCUUUCAAUGACAAAUAACCAAUUUGCUGCUCUAGCUACCGACGACAAAGAACCUGCUGAAUUAAACAUUUCGACAAAGGAGAGUUCAAACCUUAAGGCAUGUACGGAUGUGUUCCAAAUAAUAAGGAAAAUGAAAAAGUUAAUCUGUGGUCCAAUAAAGAAUCUGCUAAAGAGUGGGUAUCAAGGGAUUUUGGCAAGCUAGGUGAAGUUCCCAAUUCUGUAAUACCUGUACAGCAACAAGGCAGUCAGCAACUAAGUAAUCAACAACAAAGGCAAGAUAGAGAUAAUAAUGCUAAAGAGAAUAAUAAAGAUGGUAAUGGGAUGGAGAAUGAUAUGCAGGUUAAAUCUUUAAUAAAUCAGGAGCAUAAUAUUGAUGAUGGUCAGCAACAAUGCCUCAUAGUCAAAAAGGACAAUCUGCAAUCUAUAGAAGAUGUGCAACCAGAUACCAAGCAAUAGUCAAUGCAGAUUAAUCAAGAUUUUUACAGUGGAAGCUAUGAUAAUGGAGAUAGGUCAGUUGAGGAAAGUGUGGGGAUAACAGUUGUGAUGCAAGGGGAACAAAAUGUGUGUUUAGAAAUAAUGGAGAUUCCAAAACCAGUGCAGAUAGAUGAAUCAUUUAUCGUUACCAAGAGUUCUCCCAACAAAGUAAUACAUGACAUUGUCUCUCAUAGUUUAGGGUACAUUAAAUGCAGUAAUCAAACUCACAUGGCCAAAGGAGUUAAAGAAGUAGAUGUAGAAGAUGAUUCGAAGGAUCAUGCUCCAUCGGAAGCUGAUUUAUCACCAAGACUGAUGAAAAUCUCUAAAAAAGGAUAAAAAAGAAUGUGGAUGGGAGAAAACUCACAACCUACCAGAGUUCAUCCUAAGCGAUCCAAAUCUGCCCUAAAUUAUCAAUGAAAGCACUUAUUUGGAACAUUAGGUCUGUGAAGACACAACAAGAUUUCAAAGACUUCAGAUGCUUAAUAAUUAUCAUAAGUUCACCGGUUUCAGUUUGUUAGAGCCUUUUCAGAAUGUUAGAUAUAAGAGAAGAUUGAAAAUGCAUAGGGCUAUGUCAAACUGCAAUAGCAAGAUUUGGUUUUUCUCCUCUCAAGAUGUGAUAACAACUGUUAUUAAAGACACUGAUCAUCAGCUACAGUUCACUUGCAGGAGUAGGCUCAGAGCUUAGAUUUAUUACUCUUGUUUAUGCAAAGUGUUCUAAAGAGGAGAGAUUAAUCUUAUGGAAGGAUAUUUAUCAAGUUGCUUCUGGAAUUUCAAAACCUUGGAUGCUAGGAGGAGAUUUAAUGUUGUUUUGAAUUCUGAAGAGAAAAUUGGUGGCCUUCCAAUUCUUGAUGCAGGCCAUGGGGACUUUCAAUCAUGUAUUUCUUAUUGUGAUUUGAUGGAGAUACCUUUUAAAGAAAGUUCUUUCACUUGGUGGAAUGGUAGAGCAGGUAAUGACUGUAUUUUAGAAAGAUUGGAUAGAAUUUUUACUAAUCAACAACAACAACAACAACAACAACAACAACAACAAACCCAGUGUAUUCCCACCUAGUGGGGUCUGGGGGGGUAAGAUGUACGCAGUCCAUACCUCUACCUCUGCUGAAUUUUUACUAAUCAAGAUUUACAAAAUAAGUUCAAUCACAUGAAGGUAGAACAUCUUGCUACUAGUUCAGAUCAUGCUCCCAUGUUGUUGUAUUGUUAUGACAGAGCUAUCAGUUACAAGAAAUCUUUUAGAUUUCUUAAGUUUUGGACUGAUCAUCCUAAGUUCCUAGAAGUAGUAAGGCAGAAUUGGUGUUCUUCAGGUUCUCAGAGUCCAUUCUUAGAUUUCAAAGCAAAGAUUAAGAGAAUUAAAGUUGCUUUGACAAGAUGGAGUAAAGAGACUUCUGGGGAUAUUUUUAAAUAGUUGAUAAUCAGGGAAGAAAUUGUCAAGAUCAAAGAGAAAUUAUUUGAGGAAUGCCCUACGGCUGAUAACAGCGAAGUGUUGCAAAGAGCUCAGUCCGAGCACAAAAUAUAUCUUCGUUUUGAAGAGAUUUUUUGGCAGCAAAAAGCAGGUUAUGACUGGUUUGAGAAUGGUGACAGAAAUAUUAAAUUUUUUCAUAGCACUGUGAAGGGGAGGAGGAAAAGAUUGAAUUUGAAUAGAAUUCAAAUUAAUCAGGGUAUUUGGCUGGAUAAAGAAGAAAAGAUAGCCGCAGAGGUUGUUAUGUUUUAUCAGGACCAAUUUAGACAAGAACAAGAGGCUAAUGUUUUUUCAUAACUGAAUAAUAUACCUAAGAGUAUUUCUGAUGAGCAAAAUAUUGUUUUAAGUCAGUAAGCUGAUCUUGAAGAAGUUAAAAAGGCACUUUUUAGCUUAAAUGAAUAUAGUGCAAGUGGCCCGGAUGGGUUAACAAGUAGGUUCUAUCAGGUUCGCUGGGAUAUUAUUGGUAAUGAUGUUCUUAAUCUGGUGCAAGAUUUCUUAAAAGGUAAUACUCUUCCCAAAUUCAUUAUUCAUACUAAUUUGGUGUUGCUUCCCAAGAAGGAUUUUAUUCAAUUUUUCUCAGAUUUGAGACCAAUUAGUCUUAAGUAAUUUUAUUAAUAAGAUCAUUUCUAGGAUUGUGCAUGACAAAAGUGAACUUCUUUUGCCUAGACUGAUUUCUUUUAAUCAAUCUAAAUUUGUCAAAGAGAGAAGAAUUAUUAAAAAUUUCCUCCUGACUCAAGAGAUAGUUACUGACAUCAGAAAAAUGGGUAAGCCGGCUAAUGUGGUCUUAAAGCUUGAUAUGACUAAGGCUUAUGAUAGGGUUUCCUGGUUUUUCCUGAUGAAGGUUCUAAGAAAAAUAGGGUUCUCAAAAUUGUUUAUGGACUUGUUUUGGAGAUUAUUGUCUAAUAAUUGGUAUUCUAUACUAAUUAAUGGGCGAUCACACGGCUUUUUUCACUCAACUAGGGGAGUAAAACAAAGAAAUCCUUUAUCUCCAGCUUUCUAUUUGAUGAUGCUCAAUAUGUAGGUUAUGAUAUGCCAAAGUGGAGUUCCAAUAUUAAUCAUCUUGCUUAUGCAGAUGACACUAUUAUAUUCGCUGCAGCUAACAGAUACUCUUUGAGAAAGAUUUUUUCAGUGUUACGGGAAUAUGAAACUCAAUCAGGGCAAAAAGUUAAUAAAGAGAAGAAUGCUUUCUACAUGCAUCAGAAUUCAGCUGCAGUUGAUAAACAAAUGGUGGAAGAUUGUGCGGCUAUUUCUAAAGGCCAAUUUCCUUUGAAAUACCUUGAAUGUCCUAUCACUCAUGCUAGAAAAAGAAAGAGUCAUUAUUCAGAGCUAAUUCAGAAGGUUAAGUCAAAAUUACAGGCUUGAAAAGGUAAUAUUCUCUCAUAUGGGGGGAAAGGAGGUCCUUAUCUCUAGUGUUCUUCAAAGUGUUCCUAUACAUAUCCUUUCUGUUGUUGUCCCUCCUAUUUGUGUAUUGAAGGAGCUUCACAGAAUAUUUGCAAAUUUUUUUGGAGUAAUAAGGCCGAUGGAAGAAACAAACACUGGGCUGCUUGGGUAAAGGUGUUUUUACCAAAACAGAAGGCAGUUUGAGUUUUAGAUCGAUGUUUGAGGUAUCUCAAGCCAUGUAUCCUAAGUUCUGGUGGAAGUUCAGAACUCAAAAUACUACUUGGUCCAACUUUAUAUGAGACAAGUAUUGCAAAAAGCAAAUACCUUCACUAGUUUAAUGGAAAGGUGGCUCGCAAGUAAGGAAGCAUAUGUUGCAAAAUAGGGAUCUAGUGGAGCAAUUCUUGUGGUGGAACCUAAAGGAGGUACUUCUACAGUUUGGUAUGAUAAUUGGACUCAACUUGGUCCUCUUUUCAAACACCAGGUAGAGGUCAUUCUUCUUUUCCAGUGAUGGAUAUUGAGGAAUUCAUGUUGGGCUCAGACUGGGAUUUUGAGAAUAUGCAAUAUCAUUUAUCAGAUAAUGUAGUAGAGCAUGUAAGAUUACAUUUGAGGCUUGUACGACAUCCUGGAGAAGGUGACAAGCCCUGGUGGAUUAAAUUUAGUUCUGGCAAGUUCUCGGUUAAAAGUGCUUGGGAAGAACGGAGGAAAAAAACGUUUGUAAUGAGUCAUUUCAGAAGAUCUGGGUAAAAGAGAUUCCUUUCAAAAUUUCUUACUUUGGUUGGAGAGUUUGGACAAAUAGGAUUCCUGUAGCCUCUGUUUUAGCUAAUUGGAAUCCUAACUUGUCUCCUCUUUAUUCAUAUUGUGUUUCAAGAAAUCAUGGAGCACCUCUUUCUAAAAGGUGAAGUGGUUUAUUUCGGUUUGGAUUUAUUACGCCAAUGCUGCAGGUAUUCUGGGGCCCUGGGUUCAAAUUAAACUAUCCAUAAAGAAGUGGUGGGAUAUAAAUGGUAAUUAAAGACAAAGAUUCAUCUUUCAGGUAGUUCCUACUCUCAUUUUGUGGUUUUUACGGAAAAGAAGGAAUGCAUUAGUUCAUGGAGGUUCAUACUCUACAGCCAAGGUUAUUUGGGAUAUUAAUGGUUUAAUUAAGAAAAUUCUCAGAAAGAAGUUUGGUUAUGAUCAGUUACCAUCUAGUUGGCCUCAAAUAGUUGCUUUUUGACUUAUUUAGACCUACAUUUUUAUCUAGAUGGAUAAGAUGGUAUCCCCCACCUAGGGGAUAGUGGAAAUAUAACACUGAUGGAACCUCGAGAGGUAAUCUAGGUCGAAUUUCAGCUGAUUUUUGUGUACGAAAUCAUGUAGGUGAUCUUGUGUAUGCUAAGGGUUUCUCUAUUCCAGAUUCCACUAAUCUGGUUGUUAAAGUCAUUGCUAUAGGAGUUGGUUUACAUUAUUGCUUAGAAAAUCAAAUUGUCAACAUUAUUGUGGAAUCUGAUUCCCUUGUAGUAGUCAACAUGAUUAAUGGAGUGUGGGAAAUUCCUUAGAGUGUGAUAAUGGAGGUCAACUCCAUUAAAGAUAUGAUGGAUUCUUGUUCAGCAAGAGUACAACACUCCUUAGGAAAGGGAAAUACUCUUGCUGAUUAUUUAGCUAACUUGGUUUUUCAUUUUGCAGGUAACUUUGAAUUCAACAGUUUUCAUGAAAUUCCAAGCGCAGGUAGGAAGAUUAUCAAUCUAGACAAACAAGGCAUUCCACAAAUGAGGAUAAGACAGUGUACAUCAACUAAUUCAACAAGGGAUGGAUCGCUACUGCAGAUUACAAAGUGAAUUUACAAACUCUAUUAGCAGUGACUAGUUACUGGUGAAUUUAGUGCAGUCUGAAUUAGUUUCGUUUGGUUAACAUACCAUGCACCUGUGGGAAUUUUUAGGUGUUACAUAGAGUAUAAACCCAGGACUCACUUAUACUAGUUGCUAAUUUCUAGGUAUAGAGUUUAUAAAAAUCAAGCACAAAUUUAGAGGCAUUUCAUAGUCUCAAAUCUGUUGAUGAGGAGAGGAUGGAGUACCCGGGACCUCAAAUUUAGCGGCGGAAGAUAGACAGGGUAUAAUUAUCAAGCAAUACAAUUCUUUUAUACAGAUUCCACUUCAGAGAAGAACAAAAAUAAUCAUUGCCAACUUAUGGAUUGCAAAGUGUCAAAAUACAAAUUUCAGCAUUUGGAGUAACACAAGAAGGCAAGGAGCAAGAUAAGUAUUAAUGGACAGUAGUGGUGAUUAACAUUCACUAAUACUGAUUGAUUUCUAAGUCAUACAAUUGAAAUGGGGGUUAAGGUGAACCUGUUAGUUCUGGAUCCUUGGUGGUGGUAUCAAUCUCCUUGAGGUUUAUUCCGCUAGGAAAAAGAGAGAACAGUGAAAUCAUUUUUUUCAUUUCACAGAUGAGUUUAGAAUAGAAAAAGGGAGGUGACUUACCAUAUCAUCUGCAAUAAAUAUUUAUUGAUUUGGAGCUGUAGAAAUUUAGUUGAAACCAAUUUCAUGAAGUUUGUAAGAGAUUAAAGUGUCUUAGUGAAAUUUGAUGGAUGUUCCAUGGCAAUAAUGGCUUCCACAACUUAAUGCAACAACCAGAUGAGGUUGGAGUAGCAAAGAUUGAAACCAUAGUUGCCUCUCCGUGAUGUCUUUCAGCUUUGAGUUUUAUCCACACAUUCCUUUUCCUGCUUACAUUUUCUGUUUUUGGUCUUUUCAGAUGUCUGGAUAUAUUUGUUGCUUUUGUUUUGGACCCGGGUCUUGCUUAACUUGGGCCAAUUUGUACAUAUCUUUUCUGCUCCUGAAUAAAUUGGGCUCUGGUCCAUCUUCAAUUAAAAAAAAGGAAAAAUGACAUGGACUGACCAGUUUAAAAAAAGGAAAUUUUGCAUAUAUACCGACAUGUUUACUCUUAAUUACCAAAAAUUUCAACAUUUUUCAAAAUCUCCAAAAAUUCCAACAUUUGACCUCUGAUAAUACAAGUUAAUCACAUUAGAUACAUACUGUUGAUAUAUGUAUCUAAUGUGAUUAACUUGUAUCAUACAUUAGAUAUAUGUAGGGUUACAUUAGAUACAUGUAGGGUUACAUUAAAUACAUGUAGGGUUAACUUGUAUCUCAAAAAUAGUCCCAAAUAUGAAAUGUUGGAAUUUAUGUAAUUUUUCAGAAGUAGGGGGAUUUUUAGAAAUUUUGAAAGUUAUGAUGUUUAUUUAUGUAAUUUUUUGUUAAAAAGAAAAAAAAUAGCCCACACUAUGAAAAUAUGGACAAUUGGAGCCAGUAGACCCAAUUUAUUUCCUGUUUUUUCAGUCAUUUGGCCCAAAACUAUUCUCCUUACACAAUUAAGGGGAUUAAAUACUCUUCACAGUAGGCUACUCUUAAAUCACUUUUCUUUUCAAACUAUACUUUCCCAAAAAAAUGUUCACCUCUAUUAUGUGUCGAUCAAUCUACUGUGUUUUGUGAUAACAAUUGAGUUAGUAGGGCACAUGCAGUCUCUAUACCCAAUUGAUACACUUUUGUACCAUAUUGAUACAUGUUUAUACCCAAUUGAUACUCUUUAUACUACAUUGAUACACUUUUAUACUCAAUUGAUACUCUUUUAUACUAGAUUGAUACACUUUUAUACCACGUCGAUACAGUAUGUAUAUUACAUAAAUACAUCUUUUACAGAGGAAAUUUGUGCAAGCAUAUACAGUAACAAUACCAAAUUAAUACAGUAAAUCAAAAUUAGUAAGUACGAACAUAAUUGAUACUCUUUAAAAUUAUAGUAUUAAUAGUACAUAAAGUAACAAAAAAAAAGAUCAAAUCAUCUUUCCAUCAAUUAUUGUUUUGAUUUAGUUCAUUCUUUCUCCUUAACGCUCUUUUAUAUUUCUAACUUCCUCUUCCUACCUUUAUUUUCUCUUCUUUUUUUCUUUCCUUCAUUACUAAGUUAGUUGUAAACACCCAUAUGAUGAAGUAUGUAUUUACUCUUGAGUUGAUGUCAUAUUUAUCCUACUAAGAAAAAUCACAGGUUCUGUAAGGAAUUGUCUAGACAUGGAGUACAUAUAAAAAUUUAUUCUGCCACUUGAAAAAAACCUGUAAAAAACUAAUUAAAUUCAGAUUUUUUGAGAUUUUAUACAAAAUUUAUGAAAUGAGAAAGGUAAAUUGGAGUAUCGAAAAAAGGUAAAGGAACAAAUAUUUAGGAGUUUGAAUGGAAAGGAAACUGGGAAUGAAAAGAAAAGAAAGAAAGGGAAAGUUACUUCAAGGAUGUUUUUGAUUUUGUUUAAGCGUAUGACAGUGAAGGUUAGUUAGUGGAAUUACUCUGUGUCUAUUUAUGAUGUAUUUAAUUUUGACUGCUAUUUUUUUAUAUUAUUUUAGUUUUAGGUGUUAUUUCUGUCAUUUGCCCAAAAAAAAAAACUUACUAUUUUACUACAAUUCUUGUUGGUAAGAAUACAUUAUUUCUUUUUUUUUUUUAGGGCAAACAACAUAAAUUUCGAGAAUUUGGAGCUUAAUUACAGAAAAUUCUGAUAUUUUGCAUAAUUGUUGAAAAUCUCAAUUUUGGAUCUGUUGAGAUACAUUAUUAGCUUCUGAUACAAUCAAAAAGAUACAUUUUUAACUUUGUAUAGAUAUAUAAUUAGCUUCCGCUACAUAUUUUUUAAAUUUUGCGUUUGUUGAGAUAUAUAAUACAUCCAAUGAAGAUAUAUUUUUUUCUUUGUAAAGAUAUAUAAUUAGCUCCCAGUGCAGUUUUUUUAUUUUUGGGUCUGUCGAGAUACAUAAUAAGCUUUCGAUACAUCCAACGAAGAUAUAUAAUUAAUUGAGCUUUUUGUAGUUAUUUUGUAAGAGUGAAAAUUUUGUAUAAAUAUAAUAAGUUAAGAUGUAUAUUUAUACUAUUUUUCCAUAAUUUGCUUGCGAACCAAAUCGACCACUAAAGAAUUGAAAAGUUAAACAAUUUGUUCCCAAUACAGAACAAACUUUAGCCUAAAAUUUAAUGCUAAAAAUUACUACAAUGAGCUGAGUGGCUGAAAUGGUGCCACUUAAGAAUAAUUUGGUGGAUGAAAUGAAUGAAUUGUUUUGGAGUACAAAUUUUGAUUUAGACAAUCUAUUGAAAUUUAUUAUAGUACUGUUUAUAUUUAGGGGCCAUUUUUCAGGAUCUAUGAAAAAUUUAUAAUGUUGAGUAGAACAUACUAUAAAAGUAAUGUUGGAUAGAGCAUAUCACACAUUAGCACAAUCCUAAUCAAUAAUGAUAGCUAUUCAUCUCUAGUUCACUUUUAUAGUUAAUCAAAGAAUUAUUAACAACGAAAAUUAAUUUUCUUGUUUUGGUUUUCUAUCAUUGAAUCAGCAAUAGUUUGAUAUAAGAACUAUUCAGAACAGACUAAAUUAAAGAGAAAGAUGGAAUACCGUCAAUGAAAAUAAUAGGAUAUGAUAUCUUCAAAGAUAAAGAAGGCAGUGAACUUUUUACACAUAUAAUACGUAUAAUUAUUAAAGAAUAUAAAAGAAAUUAAAAAAAGGACAUACAGUACAUAUAUAAACUGGAAAAGAAGAUCAAUAAUGUAAAAGUUUGAUGUUAACACUGUUCCUUAAUUAAAAUUUCCAUAAUGAUUAUACUCGCUAUUUUCUUUCAUUUGCACAAAUCAAUAUGCUCCUUUCCCCCCUUUUUUUCUCCUGAUCACUCCUUAAAGAACGAGACAUAUAGCAUACAUAGAGAAGAGAGUACUUUGUCUCCCUCAAUAAAUACCUUGAGAAAAAAAUGUAACUCAUUAGUAGUUUCUUGAUUUUGUAAAAUUUUCUUUAUUUAAAAAAGAGUAACAUUGGAAGAAGGUCAUUAGUAUCUUUUUUAUUAUCUAAAACAACAUUUAUUAUCUUUUUUAUUAUCUAAAACAACAUUUAUUAGGAGCAAAAUAAAAAAGCUAAACAACCACUUAUUAGAAACAGAGGGAGUACUAAUUAUCUGAUAGUGUUUUCAGUGUUACGCAUCAUGAACUAAAAGCUUAAUUUAAGAAGCAUUGACUGCUUAAUGAAAUCUUUUAAUUCACAAUGAUAAUAAGGAAAUCCAAUUUGUGUUGUAUCAUUCUAGCCUUUCCAUUUUUUAUGGAGACAAAGCAUUAAUAGACAAAUGGAGAUUGGACAUAUCAAGAUUUCAGUCUCAUCCUGUCAAAUCAUUAAUUGUAAAACCUUCAUGUAUUUCUAUGUUCAGCCUAAGAUAUUAAGGGGUUAAUAUUCUUUCAAAACAUGGAGAGUUUCUGAUAUUGGGAGACAUGGUUGUUUGUCGAAUAUAUUUAUUUCUCAAUAAUUGAAAUAUAUAAUUGUAUUUGAUGUGAAGAAAGUAUUAGUUAAAAUGCAGUUUGGUUCAUUUUGGCUAGGGAUUCCAUCCUUUCCAUGUAUAAAAGUUUUUGAAUGUAAGGAUGAGAAAUCAAGGUAUCUGCUACACUUUUUUUAUAUAUACGUGUAGCGCAUGUAUCGAGAAAUUAGUAAAAGAAAAAAAAAAUUCCUCAGCUAAUUCUCAAUCAACACCAACUCCAUCUUAGGAAAGUGUGGUUGGUUCUGUUCUUCCUCGAAUUCAAUGAAUUUUUGUCAUAUUGUCAUACAUAUAACGAAUAAUAUAUAUAUNNNNNNNNNNNNNNNNNNNNNNNNNNNNNNNNNNNNNNNNNNNNNNNNNNNNNNNNNNNNNNNNNNNNNNNNNNNNNNNNNNNNNNNNNNNNNNNNNNNNNNNNNNNNNNNNNNNNNNNNNNNNNNNNNNNNNNNNNNNNNNNNNNNNNNNNNNNNNNNNNNNNNNNNNNNNNNNNNNUAUGCCUCUUUUCCUCUUUAAAUUUUAAAGUAAUAAUUAAGAAGAAAAAAGAAGAAGAUACUAUUCAAUAAUUUAAUUCUGAUACCAUCAACAUGGAAGACUCCAUUUGCUUCAUCUAACAAUGGACUUUGGCAUUAUAUAAUUAACAAAACAAUUAAUUAUUAGGAUAACUUAAUCACCGACAAAGGUUUCUUACUAUUAUCCUUAUGAGAUUCCACUAGUUAAGCUAAAUAUUUUUAAUCGACGUAAGAGUUAUGAAUGUAUAAACAAGUAGAUCUUAGCUACAUUGACCUAGUCAAUCAUUAUUAUUACCGACAUAUUUAUGCUAUACAAAUAUUUGUCCUAAUGCUAUCUUUUAUUUAUUUUUUUAAUGGAAAAGGGUCAAAAAGAUUCCUGAAUUAUUCGAAGUGGAGCAAAAAUAUCCCUCAUUAGUUUUUUGUCUCAAAAGUAUCCCUCUCUAAUGAAAUAACACCAAGCAUGUCAUGUAGACAAAAUACGUCACUUGAACAGUUCACGUCAGAUCGACCAUCUUUAUUAAAGGUGAAUGCUCCAUUAAAUGAGAGAUUUUCCAUGUGGAUAUUGGCGCCUAGCGUGGACUGUUCAAGUGGCGCUUUUUGUCCACGGACAUACUUAGUAUCAUUCUGUUAGAGAGAUGAAUAGUUUUGAGCCAAAAAUUUAAUGGAGGAAUAGUUGUAAGCAAAAAAAUUAACGAAAGAUAUUUUUACUUUAUUUCAAAUAAUUUAGGAAUAUUUUUAAUCGUUUUUUGCUUUUUUAUGAUUUCUAAGUUGCUUAUAAUUUUUUUAUUACUACAUGAUUAACAAUAUUUUUUUAUUUCCAUAAAUAACAGAGAGUAAACUAAGUUGCACCUUAAUGGUCGAAAAGUAUUCACUAUUUUUUUUAGACUUAAAGAGGUGAUUCUGAUACAUGUCUUAUGAACAAUCAUUACAAAUUUUAUUAUUUUAAAUUUUGUUUUAGAUAAGUCUAUGAUUAAGUUGUUGGUGACCAAUUUAUUCAAUUGAGUGAGGCUGGCAUGUCCAAAGAUUUUAGGACGAAGAAACGGGUUAUUAUGUUAAUUAGGUAGAUUUAUUUUAGGGAGAAAUAAGACAUAUGCUUUAAUUUGUAAAUAUUAAUAAGUAUUUUUCCAUUUAAGCAUAGCUUCUUUUAAAUUUAAAUUAGUAAUCAAACAGUGUUUAGUAGUAUUUUCUACCUUGUUGGCUUUGUCACACAUUUGAGAGAUGCUAAAAAUGUGUAUUAAAAAAAAAAUAAGAUGGAAAGAGAAGCAUACUGGCUCAAAGGUAAAGCCGCUAAAACGUGCUUUAAGGUUCAAAAAUAGUAUUUUUAUUAUAUAAUUAGUCUCUCCUAUGUUUUACAGUUUAUAGUCUAUAUGCAAUAAAUCAAAUUCUAUUAUAUAAUUUUUUAUAUAAAAAUAAAAGUUUCUUUAAAGUUAUUAAAGGAUGUCCAUUUGUUGUAAUAAAAUACAUUGAUUUUGGUUCUCAGAAUCCUAUUGGUACAUAAUAAACUUUGGCUAUUUUAAUUCAAAGUUUUAAAAUAUCAAAUACAAUUCUAUAAUCUUUAACUAAAAAUUUAAAAAUAAGAUUAUUAAACUUCCGAUGAUAUGAUUGUAUAAGAAAAUAAUAAACAUUUUAAAAUGUUAUUGUAACUUUAUAUAAUACAUGUAACAGUAUUUUUCUAGUGAUUAUAAGAAGAAUUUUAUUGAAAAAUCAAACGUAAUUGUAACUUGCGGUAUUGAAAGUAAAAUUUGAUGGCGAGGAAAAUAUGAGUCCAUUCUUAUGUCAUUAAAAUUUAUAAACCUUUUUAUUAAGAUGACUUGAAAAUGGUAUUUAACUAUAUAUAAUUUAUAAUUUUUUAAUUAUCAUAAAUAAAAUAUUUCAUUUUCGUGAUAUUUUAGUUUGGAUUGCUUUCUAUCUAUCAUUAAUGACAAAAUACAUCGUCAGACCCCUUAAAUUGACACCAUUUUUCACUUUGGCAUCUUAAGUGGACAUUGUUCACCUUUGGCAGUUCAAAUAACCAUAAAGUGUAUCAUUUUGACAUCUUUCGACAUCAAUAAAAGUGUGUGUUACACUCACUGUCAACGUGGAUAAAACGGCCAACUGAUUUAUGCCAAUUCAUUUAAAUUGCCACAUCAUUAUUUAUAUUCACAAUUAGUUUUAAAAAAAAUAAAAUCAAAACAUAUGGCAAUUAAUGACAUAAUUAUCUAACUCAUUAAUAUAUAUACAAAAUUAAAUUAAAAGAAUCAAUUAAUUACUGACACGUGACAUUUUUCAAAAUAAUUAUAAAAUUAUUUAUUUUAUUUGGACAACCCUCCACCCACCUCCCACCCCCAAACUCCAAAGUCAUCUUCUCUACCACCAUCUAUCCCCCCGAUACCCCCCACCCUAAAUCAUCUUCUCUAUUUGGCAACACCCCUCUUCCCGUCAUGUUCUCCAUCUCCCUCCCCCCCCACCACCCCCAACCCCUGCCUGAGUCAUCUUAUCCUCUCCAUUUGCCCCUUUGAAAAGAUGAACACUCAAUCAAAGAUUAUAGUAUAUAUGUAUAUCAAAGACCUUGAUUAGUCAUAGCUUGACCUCAAAAAUUAGAAGGCAUUAAAUGACUGUUUUUUUUCUUAACAAAAAAUAAAAAAGAAAUGAUUGACCUUGAAAUAUAUUCAUCAGUAGUAUGUGUGAACCUAUUCUUUGGCAACGCAGUGGUCUUCUUACUACUUCAGUUGCAGUCAUAACAUGUUGACAAAGAUGGUGAUUGCUCAACAACAAAUCACUCGUUGUUGUUAGUGUGUUAGUGUGUUUCGUUAUUCUUGAAAAGUUCAACCUCCAUUAAUGGAAGUUAAGCUAAAGAAAGGUUGUGUGAAGAAGGCAAUGUGAGGAAAUUUUUUGUAAUUAUUUGGUCAAUAAAACAUGUGCCAUUAAUUUAUUGGAUCAAUUUUUACUGAUUUGGCAAUAGAGAUUUUCAAUAGUUUUAAAAAAAAUUUAAAGAUGAAAAAUUACAAAAAUAUCCCUAAAAAUUUAUGAAAAUACUCUUCAAACGCUCCAAAAAGUGAGCAACGUCCACUUGAAGUGCCAAAAUGAAAGAUAGCACCAAGUUGAGGACCGACAAUAUAUUCUUUCUUCAUUAAUUAGUGCAUGUACUACUCCUGUACUCCAUUGGUUUUGAUUUUUUCUUGUUCCUGCACAUUAUUUCUCCUUUUUUACUGUCUAUAUAGUACUAUUUUUUAACUUAGUAUGUUGAAAUUAAUUAUUUUUUAUUUGCAUAUGAAAAAGAAAUACUUAACUAGAUUGAUUCUUAUUCGUAUAUAAAAAGUUAAAAUAGUGAAAUUCAAGAAAAAUAUAUGAAUUUUAUAUUUGGCUUUAGAUGGCUAAUUAUAUUAAGCCGCCCUUGAAGGGACGGUGAAUUGUAAUAUUUUUUGUGGUUGACUAUGAGGCGAGCUAUAAUAUGAAAUCAAAUAAGUAACAUAGUAUAAUUAUGUGCUAAGUAAUGUGUCAUAUGAUAUUUUUCAAUUGAUUUGAAUUCAGUGUGAAUUAUAGUUAGUCCUUCCUUUUGGAUUUUUGUUAAACUGAAAUUUUCAUUUUUAUUACAUAGAGAGAGAAGUUAUAAAAAGGAUGAUUACAACGUGUUGUAACUUUUCAGGACGAAGAACAACAAGUCAUUGUUUUAUUAAAGAGGGAUUGUCCCUUGUCCAUAUCAGCUUUCAAGAAAAUAACAGAACAAAUGUUGAAUCUACUACUAUGAGAAAUUCAUCAUUUGUUUUGUUGGAGUUAGCCAAUGUCUGCUUUCUCCUUCCUAAUCCUAAAAUUAGCCAAACCAACUUUAUCCAACCUAUAAGUCCUUUAUAUUCAUCAUUAAGCUCUUGAAAUUGUUGUUGAGUACAAUGUUGAGGGUGUACUUAAUUUCUAAUCAUACAAUAGCGGUCUUUUUCACUCUUUGUAGUUGAUAUAUUGCCUCACCAAACACUAUUUUCCUCUCUUCGCUCUUUUUAAAUACACAAUAAAUGAAUUAGGAAGUUACAAUGCUUGUUAAGAAUAGCAUAGAGCUUUGGAGAAUGUUUGGACAGGAUGUACAGUUUCUUUUCCUAGAAGGCAUAUAUAGUCUUUGUGUGCUUGAUGUCUUGAAAAAGGAUAGAGAAAGACAAUCCAUACUACAUGAAAAAUAUUGAAUUGAGACAUAAUAUUUAUCAAUGGACAAGUCUGGCAUAGAGUUUAAACGGAUUUGUGAUAGAAUUAACUAAUUUAUAGUGUUGAUUUUAAUUUUUUCAAAAAUAAAUCAUAAAAUAGAUUGCCUAGCUUGACGUGUUAUGUGAUAUUAUGCAUAGAUUAAGUCCAUUGGAGGUUGUCUGAUUAGAGAAUCGGACAAUGCUUAGCAUGGGAAUUUCAUUGAAUAUGGAGCUAAGUGAGACUUUAAUCUCUCAUUUACUUGCUUUUUCAAAAGCAUUAUUUAAAACUGAGAAAUCGCUUCAAACUACUCCUCCACCCCAUUUUAGUUGGGCACAUUCUAUUUUAUACGGUGAUUAAGAAUCAUAAAUUGAAUGAUAAAUUUUACGAUCUUACCCUUUACUCAUAUUAAUGUUAUUCGUUGGGCAUAAGAAUGAACAUUGAAAUUGAAAUUGUUAACAUUUAAUAUAUACUAAAAAUUGUAGGGGAAAAAUAAAAAAAUAAUUAAUUUUAUCCUAAUUUAGUAAGUGGUCUUUUUUGGUGGGCUGAAACGCAUUAAAAAGAAAUAGCGGAGUAUUACAGUAGCACCUGGAUUAACCAGGAUCUACAAAAUUUGAGUUUGAGCUUAUGCCCUCUAAUGAAACAUUACAACACCUUGUUUGCCUAAUGAAACUAGUUCCUAGGAUGUCAGCCCAGGUAGCUUUGCAGCAUACAUUGGAGGAAUUACAAAAGAGUUUCUCUGUCCACAAACUUUCAGUCUUGCUCCUUCCUUAGCUAAUGCAUCCUUCACCAUAUUCUGCUCUUUAUAGCAGUGCUGGAUUUGUGGUCGUCCCAGACUCCUGAUUAGCAACCUGCAUCCAUUAAUUAUGGCAUUAUAGUGGAGGUUUCCCUCUUUGAGCAUAAUAAUAACCUUUUUCGAGUCUACAUUGAUGUCCACGGGAACUAAGGACAUUUCCUCCAUAAUUUUUAGUCCCUUUAGUUGAGCAAAGAGCUCCAUCUGGUUAUUAGUAAUCACAGGGAAAACUUUUUUGAAACCUGUAGUCCAAUUCCCUUCAUUGUCUCUAAUAACCCCUCCAAUACCACCCCUACCAGGAUUUCCCAAACAUGAGCCAUCAGUGUUAAGUUUAAAUCUUUCUUUAGAGGUUGGUUCCCACUUAACACUAAUGUUCAAUAAUCUAUUUGUCACGACCUGAAUCAAGGUCUGGCCGUGAUGGGCAUCCCUAGCCAACCAAGGUCGGAGAUGACCCCUAACCUUACCUCAAGAGCACAUCAGUAAAAACAAACAACAAAAUCCAACCAAGAUAAAAAGAGAAACAUAUGAUUCCAAAAGAAAGUUAAGAGUCAAAACCAACUCCAUAAUAAUAUCCCGACACUGCCUACAAAAGUCUCUAAUCCAAAAAUACCAACUAAGUCAAGACAUGUCCCCGACUAUAACAAAAGAAAUUCAAAAGUUCUGAAAUGAUAAAUGUAACUAAGAAAGAGGCCAAGUCUUUUGAUAGUUCAUAAGUUGGUUGAACUUGUGUUGAACUUAUUGUGGAUUAAAUACAAAUUUUGUACCCAGAAUAACAAUCUUAAGGAAUUUAUUAAUAAUUUUAAUUUUUGAGUUUCUAGAGAUUAAAACUUUUUGCUUUCUACGCUGUUUGAACUUUAUAGUGAUUUGAAGUUAUAAAAACUUCAUCACGGGUUAAUGUUCAUUCAGUUGAUGAUUAGAAGAACAUAAAAGCUUCAACAUUAAACUAGAAAUAAGUUGUUUAAAGUUUUUAAAACUUUAUUCUUAGUAUUUUGACUUACUAAAUUGGUUGUCUUUUUGUCACAGUAAAAAUGAUUAUUGAAAAUCAAGUUAAUGAUGGAAUGGUCAAUGUCACAACAACAAAUAUUGCUACUUAAAAUCGUUCAAAUGCUGCUCCGCCAAGGCACUGACAGAAAAAUCAGAAAGUUUUCUAGUGUGGAUUUUAAAAGAUGGCAGCAGAAGUUGUUCUUUUAUCUGACUACAUUAAAUCUACAAAGGUUCAUCACUGAAAGCAUUUCAGAGUUUUCGAAAGAAAUAUCCAAAAAUAUACUUUAUUACUACAAAAGCUUGAAAGCACUUGAAUUUUUUAUAUAAGAACUACAUACUGAGUGGCUACAACAUGGCAUGUACAAUGUGUACAGCAAUAUGAAGACCUCUAAGGAACUAUGGGUAGCUUUGGAAAAGAAGUACAACAUAGAGAAUGCAUGAAUGAAGAAAUUUAUUAUUGCAAGAUUUGUAGAUUUUAGGUGGUAGACAGUAAUACUGUAGUUACCCAAGUUCAAGAACCGCAAGUCAUCAUUCAUGAUCUCCUCACCAAAGGUAUAAAUUUGUUCUUGAUACUUACAUAGUCUCUGAUGUAGGCUUAAUUGUGAACGAGGCUUAUCAAGUAGCUGCUAUAAUCGAGAAGUUACCACAUUUGUGGAAAGACUUCAAAAACUACUUAAAGCACAAGCACAAGGAGAUGUCUUUCGAAGACCUUAUUGUGAGGUUAAGAAUCGAAGAGGACAAUAAAGCAUCAGAAAAGAGGUCUCGAUGGAAUUUACAAUAAGUAGAGAAAAUAUUGUGGAAGACGACCCCCAAUAAAUUAAAGAGAGAAAGGAAGCGUCAGGACAAUAAGGCAAUCCUCCUAAGAAGAAAUUCAAAGAAAAUUAUUUUAACUGUGACAAAGUUGGCCACAAGUCUUCAGAUUGUCAGGCUCCUAAGAAGGACAAGAAAAGAGGAUCAAGCUAACAUGGUUGAAUCCAAGAUGAUGUGGAGAUCUAUGUGCUAUGCUUUUGGAGUGCAUGUUGGUUGAAAAUCCUAGAGAGUAGUGGAUUAAUUCAGGUGCCACUAGCCACAAUGUGCCAACAAAAAAUUAUUUCCAUUAUAUUUUCUGGCUCAGGCUAAUGAGAACAUAUUCACGGUAACUCUGUUACGGUAAAGAUUGAAGGAAAAUGCAAGAUUUACUUGAAGAUGACAUUGGGCAAGGUGGUGACACUAAACAACGUCCUUUAUGUUUCAAAGUUGCGAAAGAACUUAGUUUCUACUUCACUUCUAACUAAAAAUAGAUUCAAAUAAGAAUUUGUUUCUGACAAAGCUGUAAUUAGUAAGCAAGAAGUGUAUGUAGGUAAAGGUUACUUCAUCGAGGAUUUUUUUAAGAUCAGUGUAAUAAAUGUUGAAAUCAAUAAAAAUUCUGUUUCUUCUUACUUACUUGAGUUAAAUGAAUUAUGGCAUGAACAUUUAGGACAUAUUAAUUACAAAACUUUGCAAAAACUGAUUAAUUUAAAAAUUUUGCCUAACUUUGAGUGUAAUAAAUCAAAUUGUCAAACAUGUGUGGAAUCUAAGUAUGCUAAGCAUCUAUAUAAGUCUGUUGAAAGGAAUUUCAAUCCCUUAGACUUAAUCCACACAAAUAUUUAUGCUAUGAAGUCAAUACCAUCUCAUGGUGAGAAAAAGUAUUUCAUAACUUUUAUUAAUGAUUGCGCUAGAUAUUGUUAUUUUUAUUUGCUAAAUGAUAAGAAUAAAGUAAUAGACGUAUUUUGGUAAUAUAAAACUAAAGUUGAAAACCAGUUGGAUAAAAAGAUCAAAAUAAUAAGAAGUAAUAGGAGUAGAGAGUAUGUAUCUUCUUUUGCAGGGGUAUGUUAGAAAAAAGGAAUUAUCCAUCAAACUAAUUUCCCGUAUUCACCUCAAUCAAAUGGGAUUGUGAAAAGAAAAAUUGAAUGUUAAAGAAAAUAAUAAUUGUCUUACUCAUAAGUUCAGAUAUACCGCAAAACUUGUGGGGGGAAGUUAUCCUUACAGCAAAUCGAAUACUCAAUAGAGUUCCCUAUAAGAAGACACACUCUAUCCUAUAUGAAAAUGAAAAGGAAGGAAACCCAACUUGAAAUAUUUCAAAGUGUGGGAUUGUCUAGCUAAAGUCCAAGUCUAUAUACCUAAAAGGAUAAAAAUAGGACCAAAGAUUGUGGAUUGUGUGUUCAUCGUAUAUGCUACAAGGAGUAAAGCAUUUCAAUAUUUGGUUCAUAAAUUCGAACCAUGAAAAUACGAUAAUCUGAAUCAGAUAAUAUUAAGUUCUUUGAAUACAUUUAUCCGUAUAAAAUUGGACAUGAGAUGUCUAGUGGAGGAUCUAAACAACCUCGAGAUGAACCAAAGGAGAAUGUACUUAAUAAUGAGAAUCAAGGUGUAGUACACGUCAAAUACCGUCAAUUUUCUUUGGAUAAGAUUUUGUAACAUUUCUUCUUGAAAAUGAGCCUUAAAAAUUGAAAGAAACGAUGUCGUCUUCAGACCCAUCCUUUUGGAAAGAGGCAAUCAAUGGUGAUAUAGAUUCAAUCUUGAGCAACCAUACUUAGGAAUUGAUUGAUCUUUCUCCGGUAAAUAAACCUUUAGGUUCUAAAUGGAUCUUCAAAAGGAAAAUAAAAGCUAGUGGUACUUUUGACAAUUAUAAGACAAGACUUGUUGUGAAAGAUUUUAGACAAAAAGAAGGCCUUUAUUAUUUCGAUACAUACUCGCCAAUAACAAGGAUAACGUUCAUUCAGAUGUUGGUUGCGUUGACGACAGUAUAUGAUGUUGAAAUUCAUCAAAUGGAUGUGAAUACAACGUUCUUAAAUAGAGAAUUGAAGGGAGAAAUUUACAUAAAACAACCUAAGGGUUUUGUAGUUUCUGGUAAAGAAAAGAAAUUGUGCAAACUUGUUAAAACACUUUAUGGAUUAAAACAAGCACCCAAAUAGUGGUAUAUAAAAUUUGACCAAACCAUGUUGGCAAACGAUUUCAGGAUAAACGAAUGUGAUAAAUGUGUUUACAUUAAAGACACUCCAAAUCACAAAGUCAUUAUUUGUUUGUAUGUGGAUGACAUGUUGACCAUCAGUAGAGACAUUCUAACAUAAAUGCUAUGAAAUAAAUGCCUGAGGGCAAGUUUGAUUUGAAAGACCUUAGAGUUGCUGACGUAAUCUUAGGGAUAAGAAUUUUUAGAACUCCAUAGGUAUUGGCGUUGUCACAGUCGCAUUACAUUGAAAAGGUGUUUGACAAGUUCAAGCAUUUAGAUUUCAAUAUUGUUGAGACUACAUUAGACAUGAGUUUUGCAUUUCAAAAGAAUGAAGGUGAAAGUAACUCACAGUUGGACUAUGCAAGAGUGUUGAAAAGUUUGGUGUAUAUAUCAUAAAUUGUACGUGAGAAGACAUAGAAUGCACUAUUAGUAAAUUAAGUCGGUAAAAGACUACUCCUAAUCAAACUCAUUGGAUGGAUAUGAAAAAAGUUUUAGGGUAUCUAAAACAUACCCAAGACUAUGUUUUUAUUAUAACAAAUAUCCAGCGUAGAUGAGGUGACUUUUCAAAAUAAUGUAAUUUUUCGUGAACCAUUACUUUCUUUCUGAAGCACCACAUUGUGGCUAUAAAUGCCUGAAUUUUUCCUCUGAUAAAGGUAUGAAGAUUUGAAGGGAAAAACAUUUUCUUUUUCUUCUUAAAACUCUGGUAUGAUCUUCAAACUAUUGAGUGAGUUCGUUGUUCAGAAAAUUUGAGGUACCACUAUUUUUUGAAGAGAAUCAUUUUUCGUAGGGAGGAUAUAUUCCUUUAACCUCGAGUACUUGACUAGAAUAAUUUUUUUAAGGAUACAUCGUGAAUUCAGUGGAUUUGACUCAAUCGUUUCUGUCUUCAUCCCAUUUUCUUAAAGUUGGUUUUAUUAUUUUUCCAGAAAAAUAGUUUGAACAUUAUAUUGAUAGUUCUUCAUUUGUUUGAACUUGUGUUUGAAGUUUUUGAAACUUCAUUUUGAUAGGUUAUAAGUUGUUGAACUUGUGUUGAAGUUAUUGUGGAUUAAAUACAGAUUUUGUACAAAAAAUAAUACGAAAUAGCUGUGAAACCUUGGGGAGCGACCAACUAAAAGAAUUUGCACCGAAGUCGAUCCGAAAUCACUUUCAAAGUAAUGGCUUACCACGACACAAUAUUUUCAGUUCCAUAUUAAUAUUAGAGUAAUUUUUCCAACAAGUGGCAAAGUUUGUUAUUUAACUACAAAAUUUGUUCGUCAACAAAUCCUUGUUUUUCUUUUGUUGGGUAGUAUAUUUUGGUUUUAUCUAAUCAAUCUAUUGACAAGCUAAGCGCCUACGAAAACGAUGUAGAUGUUCUACCUACGGGGGCGGGGGGGUGUCUAUUACAAUUACAAAAAUAAACUGAAUGUUGAGUUUCAGUUCCACUAACACCUUGCAAAAGUGAAUUACCCAUGAAAGAUGGGGGUAUUAUAUCAAAAAAAAAAAACAUAUCUUUUGUUGUUUUCUAAUUUCUAACGAUAUAUUUUUGAUCCAUUGCUUUCCCAUAGUAUGCUAACUUGACAGCCACUUUUUUUUGCUUUUCUAUAUACGUGGAACACUUUUUUUUUCGUCAAAAUGCGAAUCAUAAUUUAAUCCGUCAAUUUUUACUAAAUUGUAAUUGUCUUUUUUUUUUUAUAAACAGAGAUAGCAGGUAACCCAAGAAAAAAAAAUGUCUAGCAGAACAUAUUACGCAUCCUCGAAACUACUAUGACCUAUAAAACUAGAUGAUAAAAAAAUUGGUUUUAUCAUACUGGCACACUUGUAGAUGUUCCAUAAUUCAUGUAAAUUUACUUCAGAUGAAUUGUAGUUUUUGUGUUCAAAUUCAUAUAAAAACGAAAUGAUUUAAGUUUCGUUCUUUGAAUAUCGCCAUACAGAAAUAAAAUAGAACAAGGGGAGUACUUUUCUAGGUCUCUAUUUGAUAUUUUAUCAGUAACAAUUUGAAAAUAGUCAUAACUCAUACACGUAGUAGUAGGUGGAAAUGUUUCUGAUUGAAUUCGGCAUAAAAAUAUUUUUAUGGAAAAAAAGUUUCUUCUAGUUUUGGUUUAUAAGUGGAUCAAUUUUUGUGGAAAAAAAGUUUCUGCUAGUUUUGGUUUCUAAGUGGAUCAUUCCCUAGCGCUCUACUAAAUGAUUUAAUUUUAUAUAAAGAAGAUGAAAUUAUAAGAAAAAAGAGAAAAAAGAAAAAGACUAGAGAUCUAAAGAAGGGAAAACUUAAAGUAUGUGGUAAUAACUUCUUUUAUUCAUCACAUAAUCUCUGCAUUUUGCAAGGAGAUUGAAACUGAGCAAACAUACACAAAGACAUAAAAGUAAAAAUACAAAUAUAAAUAGAGUACAAACAAUAUCACUAAUAACUUAGAGAACAUGAAGCUACAAAAGAACUUCGCCUCCCGUGGGGCUUAUUGUUUACUCUUUUUUCUUCUUUUUGGCAUUGCCUCUCGAAAUGGAAAAUGCCUUUCCUUGAGCUCAACAUUCUGCUUUUCCUGCAUAAGAAUAUAAUAUUGUCAAUGAGAACAUAUAGUAACUGAUUAAUAAACCUAAUAAGUAGGAGAUAGCAUAGGCUUAUAUAUUAAUGCGUUUGCAUGAAGAAAUUGUGCAACUUGUAUUGAUUUGCAUUUAGACAAAUCAUUUUUAAGAAUUUUAGUUUGGCUUAAUUACCUUAGAUUUGAUGUUGUUGUUUCUUAGUGAUGGUAGGGAGGAGGUGGAGACUUGUAAACCGGAGUUGGUGGUGGUGGAGACUUGUAUACUGGUGCAGGAUGGUGUGGUGUUGGUGAAGGAUGGUAUGGAUUCACUGGUGGUGGUGACUUGUAAACGGGUGUUGGUGGUGGUGGAGAUUUGUAUACUGGUGCAGGGUGGUAUGACUUCACUGGUGGUGGUGGUGACUGGUAAACGGGUGUUGGUGGUGGUGGAGACUUAUAAACUGGUGCAGGAUGAUAUGGCUUCACUGGUGAUGGUGGUGACUUGUAAACGGGUGUUGGUGGUGGUGGAGACUUAUAAAUUGGUGUGGGAUGAUAUGGUGUUGGUGGAGGAUAGUAUGGCCUCUUAGGUGGUGGUGGUGACUUGUAAACUGGAGUUGGUGGUGGUGGCGACUUGUACACUGGAGUGUGUGGCGGGUAGUAUGGCUUUUUGGGUGGUGGUGGGGACUUGUAAACUGGAGUUGGGGGUGGUGGAGACUUGUAAACUGGGGUGUGUGGAGGGUAGUGUGGUGGUGACUUGUAAACUGGAGUCGGGGGUGGUGGAGACUUGUAAACUGGGGUGUGUGGAGGAUAAUGUGGCUUCUUUGGUGGUGGUGGGGACUUGUAAACUGGAGUGUGUGGAGGAUAGUGUGGCUUCUUCGGUGGUGGUGGUGACUUGUAAACAGGAGUUGGUGGUGGUGGCGACUUGUGAACUGGUGCGGGAUGAUAAGGUGUUGGUGAAGGGUGGUAUGGCUUCUUAGGUGGUGGUGGAGAUUUGUAAACAGGAUGAUGAUGGUGUGGUGGAGGGGACUUAUAUACUGGGUGGUGAUGGUUUGGUGGAGGAGACUUAUAUACUGGGUGGUGGGGUGGAGAUGGAUAGACAUGCACUGGUGGAGGAGGAGAUGAAUAAUGAUAAUUUGCAGAGCUUUCAGAAGCUAAGCUAAGUGACACUAAAACCACCAAAAGAGUGGCAACUAGAGAGGCCAUUUUCCCCAUAUU